rnacentral:rRNA from 1 species
GCCUGAACCAGCCAUCCCGCGUGAAGGAUGAAGGCCUUAUGGGUUGUAAACUUCUUUUGUACCUGAAGAAACCCUUCUACGUGUAGGAGGUUGCCGGUAAGGUACGAAUAAGCAUCGGCUAACUCCGUGCCAGCAGCCGCGGUAAUACGGAGGAUGCAAGCGUUAUCCGGAUUUAUUGGGUUUAAAGGGUGCGCAGGUGGUUGAAUAAGUCAGUGGUGAAAGUCUGCCGCUUAACGGUAGGAUUGCCAUUGAUACUGUUUAACUUGAGUUUGGAUGAGGUAGGCGGAAUGUGUAGUGUAGCGGUGAAAUGCAUAGAUAUUACACAGAACACCGAUUGCGAAGGCAGCUUACUAAAUCCACCUACCUGACACCUGAGGCACGAAAGCGUGGGGAUCAAACAGGAUUAGAUACCCUGGUAGUCCACGCCGUAAACGAUGAUCACCUCCUGUGUUUGCGAUAUACAGUAAGCGGCCAAGCGAAAGCGAUAAGUGUUCCACCUGGGGAAUACUCUCGCAAGGUUGAAACCUCAAAGGAAUUGACGGGGGCCCGCACAAACGGAGGAACAUGUGGUUUAAUUCGAUGAUACGCGAGGAACCUUAC